ACUCCUACGGGAGGCAGCAGUGGGGAAUAUUGGACAAUGGGGAGACCCUGAUCCAGCCAUGCCGCGUGUGUGAAGAAGGCCUUAUGGUUGUAAAGCACUUUAAGCGAGGAGGAGGCUACUAGUAUUAAUACUACUGGAUAGUGGACGUUACUCGCAGAAUAAGCACCGGCUAACUCUGUGCCAGCAGCCGCGGUAAUACAGAGGGUGCGAGCGUUAAUCGGAUUUACUGGGCGUAAAGCGUGCGUAGGCGGCCAUUUAAGUCAAAUGUGAAAUCCCCGAGCUAACUUGGAAUUGGCAUUCGAUACUGGAUGGCUAGAGUAUGGGAGAGGAUGGUAGAAUUCCAGGUGUAGCGGUGAAAUGCGUAGAGAUCUGGAGGAAUACCGAUGGCGAAGGCAGCCAUCUGGCCUAAUACUGACGCUGAGGUACGAAAGCAUGGGGAGCAAACAGGAUUAGAUACCCUGGUAGGUGA
rnacentral:rRNA from 1 species